rnacentral:tRNA from 1 species
GAGGGUACACCUCAGUGGUAGAGCUUGUGCUUAGCGUGCACAAGGUCCUAGGUUGAAUCCUUAGUACCUCCA